GCAAAAAUCACAAACCUGGUUUUUGGGCUCCCUCCAAACCACAGGUGUGAACACCUACCAUGUGCUGGGUGCAGUGCUAACGGAUAUCAAGAUGAGAAGGGUCAGGCAGCUGUCCUCAAAGAGCAUAGAGUCUGCUAGGAGAGACAAAAAUCGUUCCAUAGGAGCUGUCCCUUGGGUAUGAAGUAAGAAGAACCUAGAUCAUAACAGUGCAACUUUAAAAAUGGAAAAGAAGGGGUGAAUCCAGAAACAUCCUCAAGAAGGAACUGAUUGACCGGCUAUGGGGAAGGAGUGAAUUAGAAGCAGCAAAAAUGCCUGAGGUUUUUAACCUGAAGGUGUCACUGACAAGGAAAAGGAAAUCAGGAAAGGAAAAAAGAUGAACGCUAGAACAAAUUAUUUCUUAGUAAUUAUACAAGAAGGUGGGUCAAAGCUAUGUUUUUCUCCAAAGAAGGAAAAAU
rnacentral:lncRNA from 1 species